rnacentral:lncRNA from 1 species
AUGAAUGAAAGCCAAAUUUCACCCAUAGGCUGUCAACCGAUGCUCCAAAACUUACUCGCACAAAGUACGCUGAGAAAGAAAUGGGGCUGGGCGAGACCUAACUCGGGCACAGAAGCGGCUUCCAAACCUGGAAGGGAGAAAACAGCGGGUCGGGUCGCGGCUCCAGAAAUUUCCGAGCGCCCGGCUGCGGGCGAGCGGGCGCGGGGCCCGCCGGGGAGGGGGCGGCGGCACCUGUCACUCGCGGCCCCGCCGCCCCGCAGCCCCCGGCCCGCGCCCCGCGAGGUCCCGGGCGGCUCGGCCACGGCCCGGGCGCCGGGGCCUGAGGAGGCGCGGGUCCCCGCCGGCCGCCCCGAGCGCGGCGCCGCGGCCCUUCCCGAGGAGCGGCCCUCCCGCGCCCUGUGCCCGGCGGCUCCGGCCGAGUCCCCGACCGCCUCGCCCGAGGCGCACGCAGCGGCGCGGCCGAGGCGCCACCCCCGCCCCGGGGGCGCCGGCGCUGCCCCCCACGAGGCGGGCCCGCCCUCCGCGUACUCACCGGGCCUCCCCGGCCGCCGGCUCGGCCCUCCUGUCCCUCCUCCCCCCGCCGCCGCCGCCGCUCCCGCGGCUCCGGGGCGGCCGCGCUGGGCGUUGGGACUAGGCUGGGUCAAGGGGCGGGGGCGGGGGCGGGGGCGGGCUCGCGCGGCGGGGCUCGCGCCGCGGGCCAGCGGGCGGGCGCCGGGCACUAACGGGCCCCGCGAGCGGGCGCCGGGCUGGGCGGGCUGGGCGGGCGGGGCGGGCGGAGCGGCCCGCGGCGGGGAGCGCGGCGGCAGCUGCGGGGAGGGGCGGGGAGAGCGCGGCUGCGAGCGAGGGCGGGAGGGAAGUCCCGGCGGAGGGGGCGGCGUGAGAGCCGCGGGGCGGGCCGGGGGCGGGGCCGGGCGCGCCCGCCGCCGCCGCGCGCCGGGGUUUGUUUAUUUCCCCGGUUGGUUGCGGCGCUGGCGCGUGGGGAGAGGUUCGCCGGUGACGUGA